rnacentral:rRNA from 1 species
UGAGCAACCUGCCCUCAGCUUUGGGAUAACCCUCGGAAACGGGGGCUAAUACCGGAUAUUCACUGCUUCGCGCAUGUGGGGUGGUGGAAAGUUUUUCGGCUGGGGAUGGGCUCGCGGCCUAUCAGCUUGUUGGUGGGGUGAUGGCCUACCAAGGCGACGACGGGUAGCCGGCCUGAGAGGGCGAUCGGCCACACUGGGACUGAGACACGGCCCAGACUCCUACGGGAGGCA